rnacentral:rRNA from 1 species
GACGAACCGUGCGAACGUUGUUCGGAAUCACUGGGCUUAAAGGGCGCGUAGGCGGGCUGCCAAGUCAGGGGUGAAAGCCCACGGCUCAACCGUGGAAGUGCCUUUGAUACUGGCGGUCUCGAGGGAAGUAGGGGCGUGCGGAACUUCCGGUGGAGCGGUGAAAUGCGUAGAUAUCGGAAGGAACACCGGUGGCGAAAGCGGCGCGCUGGACUUCUACUGACGCUGAGGCGCGAAAGCCAGGGGAGCAA